GCGCUCACAGCCUUCUGCCAGCGCACUCUCUGUUUCUCUGCAGUCCCGAAGCUCGCAAAUGUAGCAGGCGCCCCAAGCUCGGUCCUCAAGAAGCCAUGGCGAAGUCCAGGGGCCCUCUGUACCUUUGGAUGUGCUUGGCUGCUGCGCUGGCAUCUUUCCUGGUGGGAUUUAUGGUGGGCUGGUUUAUUAAGCCUCUCAAAGAAACAACCACUUCUGUGCGCUAUCAUCAAAGUAUACGGUGGGAACUGGUAUCCGAAAUGAAAGCUGAAAACAUCAGAUCAUUUCUUCGUUCUUUUACAAAGCUUCCUCAUCUGGCAGGAACAGAACAAAAUUUCUUGCUUGCCAAGAAAAUCCAAACCCAGUGGAAGAAAUUUGGACUAGAUUCAGCCAAGUUGGUUCAUUAUGAUGUCCUCUUAUCUUACCCCAAUGAGACAAAUGCCAACUAUAUAUCGAUUGUGGAUGAACAUGAAACUGAGAUUUUCAAAACAUCAUACCUCGAACCACCACCAGAUGGCUAUGAGAAUGUUACAAAUAUUGUGCCAGCAUAUAAUGCUUUCUCAGCCCAAGGCAUGCCAGAGGGAGAUCUUGUAUACGUGAACUAUGCUCGCACUGAAGACUUUUUCAAACUAGAAAGAGAGAUGGGCAUCAACUGUACUGGGAAGAUUGUUAUUGCAAGAUAUGGAAAAAUCUUCAGAGGAAAUAAAGUUAAAAAUGCCAUGUUAGCAGGAGCCAUAGGAAUCAUCUUGUACUCAGAUCCAGCUGACUACUUUGCUCCGGAGGUACAGCCAUAUCCCAAAGGAUGGAAUCUUCCUGGAACUGCAGCCCAGAGAGGAAAUGUGUUAAAUUUGAAUGGUGCUGGUGACCCACUCACUCCAGGCUAUCCAGCAAAAGAAUACACUUUCAGACUUGAUGUUGAAGAAGGAGUGGGAAUCCCCCGAAUACCUGUACAUCCCAUUGGAUAUAAUGAUGCAGAAAUAUUAUUACGGUAUAGUUUUCUUGUUGGAUAUAAGAUUAAGAUAUUUUCCACUAGGUGUCUAUUUUCUCAUUGAAAACCAAUAUGGCAUUCUUAUGUUAAACACAAAGUUUUAUAACUAAAUAACUCCUGAAAUAGGAAUAACAGAGUAUACUAUCUUUUUAUUUCAUAAAAGUAGUCAUUUUAGUGACUAAGAAAUAAAAAUAAAAUAUCGCUCUGUUUGCUACAAAUGAAAUUCUCAAAUACAAAGCUAUGUCCUAAGAUAAUUCUGAUUUGAGAUUUUUCAAGCAAUUGAAUUUUCAUAGGUAUUCAUUAGAUAUUUAUAUUCAACAUCUAGUAUAAGAAUAUGACAAUGUCCCCCACUUACUAGAGGUAUGACUUUGGAUCAGUUGCUUAAACUUUCUCCGGCUCAGUUUCUUUAUUUGUAAGAUGAGGCUAGUAACUGUUUCUCCUUGAUAGGGUUAGUAUGAGAUCAUAUGUGUAAAAUACUUAGCACCGUAUUUAGAAUAUAGUAAACAAUUAUUGUA
rnacentral:sRNA from 1 species